rnacentral:rRNA from 1 species
UACGUAGGGUGCGAGCGUUGUCCGGAAUUAUUGGGCAUAAAGGGCUCGUAGGCGGUUUGUCGCGUCGGGAGUGAAAACUCAGGGCUUAACCCUGAGCCUGCUUCCGAUACGGGCAGACUAGAGGUAUGCAGGGGAGAACGGAAUUCCUGGUGUAGCGGUGAAAUGCGCAGAUAUCAGGAGGAACACCGGUGGCGAAGGCGGUUCUCUGGGCAUUACCUGACGCUGAGGAGCGAAAGUGUGGGGAGCGAACAGG